rnacentral:rRNA from 1 species
ACGGGUGAGUAAUGUCUGGGAAACUGCCUGAUGGAGGGGGAGUAACUACUGGAAACGGUAGCUAAUACCGCAUAACGUCGCAAGACCAAAGAGGGGGACCUUCGGGCCUCUUGCCAUCGGAUGUGCCCAGAUGGGAUUAGCUAGUAGGUGGGGUAACGGCUCACCUAGGCGACGAUCCCUAGCUGGUCUGAGAGGAUGACCAGCCACACUGGAACUGAGACACGGUCCAGACUCCUACGGGAGGCAGCAUG